rnacentral:rRNA from 1 species
UACAGAGGUCCCAAGCGUUGUUCGGAUUCAUUGGGCGUAAAGGGUGCGUAGGUGGCGCCGUAAGUCGGGUGUGAAAUUUCGGAGCUUAACUCCGAAACUGCAUUCGAUACUGCGGUGCUUGAGGACUGGAGAGGAGACUGGAAUCAUGGUGUAGCAGUGAAUGCGUAGAGAUCAUGAGGAAGACCAGUGGCGAAGGCGGGUCUCUGGACAGUUCCUGAUACUGAGGCACGAAGGCCAGGGGAGCAAACGGG